rnacentral:rRNA from 1 species
UCACCACAUAAUGAGAGUAGCGCACUGGUGAGUAACACGUGGGAACAUACCUUGAAGUGGGGGACAACAGAGGGAAACUUCUGCUAAUACCGCAUAAUCCCUGAGGGGGAAAGAUUUAUCGCUUUAAGAUUGGCCCGCGGAAGAUUAGGUAGUUGGUGGGGUAAAGGCCUACCAAGCCGACGAUCUAUAGCUGGUCUGAGAGGACGAACAGCCACAUUGGAACUGAGACACGGUCCAGACUCCUACGGAAGGCAGCAG